rnacentral:rRNA from 1 species
GUAGCAAUACUUGAUGGCGACCGGCGCACGGGUGAGUAACGCGUAUGCAACCUGCCCGAUACCGGGGUAUAGCCCAUGGAAACGUGGAUUAACACCCCAUAGUACUUUUAUCCUGCAUGGGAUAGGAGUUAAAUGUUCAAGGUAUCGGAUGGGCAUGCGUCCUAUUAGUUAGUUGGCGGGGUAACAGCCCACCAAGACGAUGAUAGGUAGGGGUUCUGAGAGGAAGGUCCCCCACAUUGGAACUGAGACACGGUCCAAACUCCUACGGGAGGCAGCAGUGAGGAAUAUUGGUCAAUGGACGAGAGUCUGAACCAGCCAAGUCGCGUGAGGGAAGACUGCCCUAUGGGUUGUAAACCUCUUUUAUAAGGGAAGAAUAAGUUCUACGUGUAGAAUGAUGCCUGUACCUUAUGAAUAAGCAUCGGCUAACUCCGUGCCAGCAGCCGCGGUAAUACGGAGGAUGCGAGCGUUAUCCGGAUUUAUUGGGUUUAAAGGGUGCGUAGGCGGUUUAUUAAGUUAGUGGUUAAAUAUUUGAGCUAAACUCAAUUGUGCCAUUAAUACUGGUAAACUGGAGUACAGACGAGGUAGGCGGAAUAAGUUAAGUAGCGGUGAAAUGCAUAGAUAUAACUUAGAACUCCGAUAGCGAAGGCAGCUUACCA